GAAAGGGCGGCAGCCUAACACAUGCAAGUCGAACGGUAACAGGGAGCAGCUUGCUGCUCUGCUGACGAGUGGCGGACGGGUGAGUAAUGUCUGGGAAACUGCCUGAUGGAGGGGGAUAACUACUGGAAACGGUAGCUAAUACCGCAUAACGUCUACGGACCAAAGUGGGGGACCUUCGGGCCUCAUGCCAUCAGAUGUGCCCAGAUGGGAUUAGCUAGUAGGUGGGGUAACGGCUCACCUAGGCGACGAUCCCUAGCUGGUCUGAGAGGAUGACCAGCCACACUGGAACUGAGACACGGUCCAGACUCCUACGGGAGGCAGCAGUGGGGAAUAUUGCACAAUGGGCGCAAGCCUGAUGCAGCCAUGCCGCGUGUAUGAAGAAGGCCUUCGGGUUGUAAAGUACUUUCAGCGGGGAGGAAGGCGUUGUGGUUAAUAACCACAGCGAUUGACGUUACCCGCAGAAGAAGCACCGGCUAACUCCGUGCCAGCAGCCGCGGUAAUACGGAGGGUGCAAGCGUUAAUCGGAAUUACUGGGCGUAAAGCGCACGCAGGCGGUCUGUUAAGUCAGAUGUGAAAUCCCCGGGCUCAACCUGGGAACUGCAUUUGAAACUGGCAGGCUUGAGUCUCGUAGAGGGGGGUAGAAUUCCAGGUGUAGCGGUGAAAUGCGUAGAGAUCUGGAGGAAUACCGGUGGCGAAGGCGGCCCCCUGGACGAAGACUGACGCUCAGGUGCGAAAGCGUGGGAGCAAACAGGAUUAGAUACCCUGGUAGUCCACGCCGUAAACGAUGUCGACUUGGAGGUUGUGCCCUUGAGGCGUGGCUUCCGGAGCUAACGCGUUAAGUCGACCGCCUGGGGAGUACGGCCGCAAGGUUAAAACUCAAAUGAAUUGACGGGGGCCCGCACAAGCGGUGGAGCAUGUGGUUUAAUUCGAUGCAACGCGAAGAACCUUACCUGGUCUUGACAUCCAGAGAAUCCUGCAGAGAUGCGGGAGUGCCUUCGGGAACUCUGAGACAGGUGCUGCAUGGCUGUCGUCAGCUCGUGUUGUGAAAUGUAGGAUAAGUCCCGCAACGAGCGCAACCCUUAUCCUUUGUUGCCAGCGGUUCGGCCGGGAACUCAAAGAAGACUGCCGGUGAAUAAACCGGGAGGAAAG
rnacentral:rRNA from 1 species